GCAGGAUAUAUAAAUCUAUGGGCUUAAACAAGCUUUGAGAGCAUGGUUUAGAAGACUCUCACGACAACUACUUGAAUAUGAUUUCCUUGAAUCUUUUGUUGAUUCAUCUCUAUAUAUUUAUGGCAGGAAUAACUUAUAAAUAUUUGUUCUUGUUUAUGUAGACAAUAUCAUCGCGACAAGAACAAUACAACGGGUAUUACUCAGUUUAUUGCUGUACUAGGAGCUGCACACCUUGAAGAUGAUUGGCAGUGGUGAGAAGGUUGUAGAACUCUAUGUUCUUGAUACUAGUUUACUUGAUCUGGUAGCAAAUAAACGUAGCAUUGUUACUAGUCAUACUUAGCAUCAUAGAUUAGGCCAUUUAUCUUUUAAAAGGUUAAAUUUGUUGAAAGACAAAUUGAGAAUUGAUUGGAUGAAGGAAUGUCAUUUUUGCUCUAUGUUCAAUAUGUCCUUUAGCCAAGCAAAGACGGCUUUCAUUUGUAUCAAACAAUCAUUUAGCUCAGGCUGUAUUUGACUUAGUUCACUGUGAUGUUUGGGGCCCCUAUAAUGUCCCUACACAUGCUAGUUAUAGAUACUUUUUAACAUUGGUUGA